rnacentral:lncRNA from 1 species
UGAGAAUUGAAAAUUACACACUGAGAAUUGAAAAUUACACACUGAGAUUUCAAAAAGACACACUGAGAAUAAAUAAACUGAAAACACACACUGAGAAUUUGAAAUUACACACUGAGAAUUUAAAAUUACACACUGAGAUUUGUGCGCACUUUUUAUGCGCACAUAUCUAAUUAGCAUACUUAAUCUGAAUCUAUUACAAGCUUAAAACAACAAGGGGACAUAACUCGUUAGUCCUUCGAUUUGGUUCCAAAUUAUUAAUAAAAAACCUUUAAAAAUACAAGAACAAGAAAAAUAC